GUAUUUAAAAGAGUAGUUAUUGUUGCAAACUCCAUUAGAAAUUUGAAUUGAUAUCAGUUUUGGAAAAAGGGAAACGGGGAUGUGAAAAAAAAGGGGGGGGUAAAUUUUUCUCGUUUUAGAUUUCAUAAAUAAAAAGAAAAUUUCUUCAAACAUUUUUUUGAGAGGAUUAAUAUUCAACAGCAUAGUGAAUUGCUCAAAGGCAAAAAAACCUUUUAAGUUCAUUAGACCACAUUCAUUCUGUGUCAGAAACCUAUGCUGUGUCAACUAUUUAAUUUUAGAUUUAAAAAGUUUGAAGAAGAAAUCUUUGAUUGAUUUGUAAAAUCUUGACAUUUGUUUUUGUAAAAAAAAAACCAUGUAAUGUCAAAAAUUUGAUCACAAUCCAAAUUCAGAGCUGUAUCACGCUUGAAUGUUUUGUCCAUACUUGCCCCAACUGUUCAGGGUUCGACCUCUGCGGUCGUAUAAAGCUGCGCCCUGCGGAGCACCUGGUUCUAGUUAACGGACAAUAACUUGUGUUUAAGUGUAUGGAUCUCACU
rnacentral:lncRNA from 1 species